ACGGGAGGCAGCAGUGGGGAAUAUUGCACAAUGGGGGAAACCCUGAUGCAGCGACGCCGCGUGAGUGAAGAAGUAUUUCGGUAUGUAAAGCUCUUUCAGCAGGAAAGAAAAUGACGGUACCUGAUUAAGAAGCCCCGGCUAACUACGUGCCAGCAGCCGCGGUAAUACGUAGGGGGCAAGCGUUAUCCGGAUUUACUGGGUGUAAAGGGAGCGUAGACGGUAAGGCAAGUCUGAAGUGAAAUGCCAGGGCUCAACCCUGGAACUGCUUUGGAAACUGUCCUACUAGAGUGCAGGAGAGGUAAGUGGAAUUCCUAGUGUAGCGGUGAAAUGCGUAGAUAUUAGGAGGAACACCAGUGGCGAAGGCGGCUUACUGGACUGUAACUGACGUUGAGGCUCGAAAGCGUGGGGAGCAAACAGGAUUAGAUACCCUGGUA
rnacentral:rRNA from 1 species